UGCUGAUCCCUGGCUCAGAACGAACGCUGCGCUGCAUGCCUAACACAUGCAAGUCGAACGGUAAUGGACAGCGGAGCUUGCUCCGGCUGACGAGUGGCGCACGGGUGAGUAACGCGUGGGAACCUGCCCCAGGGUGGGGGACAACCACUGGAAACGGUGGCUAAUACCGCAUACGCCCUCCGGGGGAAAGCUUUAGCGCCCUGGGAUGGUCCCUGCGCGGAUUAGCUUGUUGGUGAGGUAAUGGCUCACCAAGGCGACGAUCCGUAGCUGGUCUGAGAGGAUGAUCAGCCACACUGGGACUGAGAUACGGCCCAGACUCCUACGGGAGGCAGCAGUGGGGAAUAUUGGACAAUGGGCGCAAGCCUGAUCCAGCAAUGCCGCGUGAACGCGAAGAAGGCCUUCGGGUUGUAAAGCACUUUCACCCGCGAAGAUGAUGACUGUAGCGGGAGAAGAAGCCCCGGCCAACUCCGUGCCAGCAGCCGCGGUAAUACGGAGGGGGCUAGCGUUGUUCGGAAUUACUGGGCGUAAAGGGCGUGUAGGCGUUGCUUGUUAGUCAGGCGUGAAAGCCCCGGGCUCAACCUGGGAACUGCGUUUGAAACUGCGAGGCUUGAGUUCGGGAGAGGAGAGAUUCCCAGUGUAGAGGUGAAAUUCGUAGAUAUUGGGAAGAACACCAGUGGCGAAGGCGGCUCUCUGGAAAGAUACUGACGCUGAGGCGCGAAAGCGUGGGGAGCAAACAGGAUUAGAUACCCUGGUAGUCCACGCCGUAAACGAUGUGCGCUAGACGUUGGGGGUUAUGCCUUCAGUGUCGCAGCUAACGCAUUAGGCGCACCGCCUGGGGAGUACGGCCGCAAGGUGCU
rnacentral:rRNA from 1 species